UCCCUGGUGGUCCAGUGGUUAGGACUCUGUGCUUCCAACGUAGGGGGCGCAGGUUCAGUCCCUGGUCAGGGAA